UGUAUCCGAGAUAGUAUCAUCCAUCACGUCUACCAACAAGUAAUGUACCUAAAUAACUGCACAAACCUAAACUAUUUUUAAACAAAGUACAAUUAUUUAAAAAAGUAAACCCUGAACUAUAAAGCAGAGUCCCUCAAACUUUCCGUGUACUACACAUGGAUUAUGGAUUUGUCAUACACCACUCGCUAUUAAAAAUUCAACUAUUCAUGUCUACA